UACUCGCUUCGAGGAACACCUAAAUCUUCCAAAGAAAAGGAAUUUAUGGUUUUCUUAUCAGAAGAAGCUAAUUUCUUCAGGCCUUGCUCAGAUUCGAAGACGCCUCAGGGAUUAAAGGAAACAGUUGAUAUACAACAGAGUUCUUGUUUUAAACAGAAUGUAUGCAUAACCAUGAAGGAUAUAUGAAUAUGCAACAGGCUAUUGCUUUUAAGAUUAUUCCUUUGUUCACAAGUGCAAAGCCAUUCCCAAUGAAAACCAAGGAGUUAAACGGAGAAUAUGGCAUGAUCUGGGUGAUGGUGUUCAGCAGUGACCCAAAAAGACACACGUGCUCCUCUACUCUAAGACUUUCCCACCAGAGCAUGGGGGAAGAAAAGACCACAAGUGCAGAAAGUAUCCAAGGCAAAGAAGCUGUUGACUCAUCCAGUUUACUAAAACCUCACGGUGCUCAGCUUGUGCUUUCUUCAAGGUUCCUUCCAUCGCUAGAGGUGUGUGAGCUUCAAAAACCCCCAUCAGAGAACACUGUGACAUUCCUGCCAUCUUGCAGUCUCAUCCUCAAUUUUCUCCAAGAAUCCAUUUCCACCUUCAGUUUAAAUGUAUUUUUAAAGCCUUCCCCACCAAUUUGCUUUCACUGAUCAUUUGCUUACUACAUUUAAACAAACAUAUUCAUAUAUUAAACGGCACAAAAAAUUCCUCAUGUGCUGUGAUGAGGAAAUUGCUGUCUAUUCCACGGAAAUCAGACAGUCAAAUUUCUUUUACAACUGUAGACAAUUGCCAAUGAUUUCUAUCAAUGAGAUGAACUUAGUAAUUGCUACAAUUUUCAGCAGGGAGAAACAAAAGAAAAAUGAAUAAUAAAAAAAUGAUAAAUUGGCA